CAACUUUCAGCAACGGAUCUCUUGGCUCUCCCAUCGAUGAAGAACGCAGCGAAAUGCGAUAAGUAAUGUGAAUUGCAGAAUUCAGUGAAUCAUCGAAUCUUUGAACGCACCUUGCGCCCUUUGGUAUUCCGAAGGGCAUGCCUGUUUGAGUGUCAU
rnacentral:rRNA from 4 species